rnacentral:rRNA from 1 species
AACGAGAAGUAGCNUGCUUACUUCGGCGUCGAGCGGCGCCCGGAUGNUGUAAUGCCUAGGAAANUGCNCUGAUGUGGGGGAUAACCAUUGGAAACGAUGGCUAAUACCGCAUAAUGCCUUCGGGCCAAAGAGGGGGACCUUCGGGCCUCUCGCGUCAGGAUAUGCCUAGGUGGGAUUAGCUAGUUGGUGAGGUAAUGGCUCACCAAGGCGACGAUCCCUANCUGGUCUGAGAGGAUGAUCAGNNGNNCUGGAACUGAGACACGGUCCACACUCCUACGGGAGGCAGCAGUGGGGAAUAUUGCACAAUGGGCGCAAGCCUGAUGCAGCCAUGCCGCGUGUAUGAAGAAGGCCUUCGGGUUGUAAAGUACUUUCAGCAGUGAGGAAGGGGUGUACGUUAAUAGCGUGCAUCCUUGACGUUAGCUGCAGAAGAAGCACCGGCUAACUCCGUGCCAGCAGCCGCGGUAAUACGGAGGGUGCGAGCGUUAAUCGGAAUUACUGGGCGUAAAGCGCAUGCAGGUGGUUCGUUAAGUCAGAUGUGAAAGCCCGGGGCUCAACCUCGGAACUGCAUUUGAAACUGGCGGGCUANAGUACUGUANAGGGGGGUAGAAUUNCAGGGUGUANCGGUGAAAUGCGUANANAUCUNNAAGGANUACCNNUGGCNAAGGCGGNCCCCCUNNACANAUACNUGACCUCNNAAUNCNAAAGCCUNNGGACCNAACA